GCCCCUGGCCCUAUGAUUGAUUAUGGUAGUCCGGGUGUGCCUGCUACGGCUCUACGCCCCCGGCAUGUAUAAGUAAGAAAGAUAGGGGCUAAAUGGUGACAAGUUCAUCCUUGUUGUGAAAUGUUUGUGUUAUGGCGCAUACAUGAAAGCAUGAUUUAAAUUGAUGUUUUAUUAUUCUGCUCACUGGGCUCUAGUAGCUCACCCCACUCCCUUUAUCCCCAGAGUUGCAGGUACAGGAUAGAUCGGGA
rnacentral:lncRNA from 1 species